GUCUGGGAUCAUUUCCCCCUGAAUCUGGGUGUCAACUUGCUGCUAGAGGAGUGGCUGUUGUGAAGCCACAGACUCCCCACCUCUCCUACCGGGUGAUCAAUUUGGAUGCUUUUGGCCAGGAGCGGCCAGUUAAGCUGCAGUGGAACCUACCAGCUGUUUUGCCCU